AGAGUUUGAUCAUGGCUCAGAACGAACGCUGGCGGCAUGCCUAACACAUGCAAGUCGAACGCCCUCUUCGGAGGGAGUGGCGCACGGUGCGUAACGCGUGGGAACCUGCCCUUAGGUUCGGAAUAACUCAGAGAAAUUUGAGCUAAUACCGGAUAAUGUCUUCGGACCAAAGAUUUAUCGCCUUUGGAUGGGCCCGCGUUGGAUUAGCUAGUUGGUGGGGUAAAGGCCUACCAAGGCGACGAUCCAUAGCUGGUCUGAGAGGAUGAUCAGCCACACUGGGACUGAGACACGGCCCAGACUCCUACGGGAGGCAGCAGUGGGGAAUAUUGGACAAUGGGCGAAAGCCUGAUCCAGCAAUGCCGCGUGAGUGAUGAAGGCCUUAGGGUUGUAAAGCUCUUUACUGGGGAUGAUAAUGACAGUACCCAGAGAAUAAGCUCCGGCUAACUCCGUG
rnacentral:rRNA from 1 species